GGGGAGGGUAAUAUGUAGACAAGUCUUACCCCUACCCGAAAGGGCAGGGAGGCUGUUUCCAAUCGAUCCUCGGCGCAUAGGACAAAAGGAAAAACAGCUGUAAAACAAAACAAAAAACAGAAAGCAUUAGUGCAGCUUAUUCUGUGUGUAAAUUCUAUGAUGUUAUAUUUGUUUUCCCUUAUUCUGUUGAAAACUAAACAAAAGAAAAGUAAUUAGUCCGUGUUAGAGAGGAA
rnacentral:lncRNA from 1 species